AGCUCUCCUCAACCCAGUUUCACUGAGAAUCAGUCGUGAGAGGAAAUAGCUUUUGAGAUGAAUUUUCAUCACAUUAAACGCACGACUCCUCACUCUCUACUGUCUUUGAAUGUCCAAAGGCGGAAUGGAAGCUCCUAAGUUAAUUUCCAAAGGUCUAGGGGCCCAGGGAAGCCCUAACCCCCCCUCCCCUGCACUUCUUGCACCCUAACAUCCUGGAAUGGGGAGAAACUCUGGGAUCUGUGGCUACGGAACCGAGAGGACCUUAACAAGUUAUGGUUGUUGAAAGGGGGAGGAGGGAUGGAGGAGAGAAAUGGAAAGGAGAAAAAAAAAUAACAUUUGUGUUCAUUUACACAUUUCCUGUGCGGAACAAAAAAGUCCCACCAUCAGCAAAAGAAGUCUCUUCCUCCAAAAUAGCAGCCAAAGAGGGAAAAUUAGAAUAUGCAUAAAUUCCUUCAUUUUCAUUCGCACAGAGCAUGAUUUCCGGCAGAUUUGUAUUUAAACUGCUCGAUUAAUCCCAAUUUCUGAACAGCAUUUUACUUAGCAUCUUCCCAAAACUCACCUAAAGAGUACUGCUCUCCUCCUACCACCUCGUUUUGAAUCCUCCCUCUUCCCUGUUCUCCAACUGUCAAUGAGAAUUUCAUUGAUAAGACUGUACCUUUAUUUUUCCUGUCCGUUGUUUUCUUUUCAAAACUGGAUUGAUGCAUUGGACUACACUUUAAUACAAACUGGCUGCUGUCUGUGAGCCAUAACUGCAGAUGAGAACCUAGUGGAAAGGAUAUGUUUUUGAAGUGUGUACCUGAAAGAGACUAAACGUGAUAGGACCAAUAGACUUUUGCAGCUUCUCUCAGGGCAUGGAAUCCUUUCCUGUUCUACACAGGUCAUAUCCUUUCACCAUUAGCAAUAGUCAGGAUGCUUGAACAUGUCCUCCCCCAAACCUCCCUCUCUUGUUUCUCUCCAUUUAUAAGGAGCAUGAUAGACAAUCACAACCCUCUUCAAAGGAAUAUUACUCUUCAUAAAUAUUCAAAGUGUGUCAGUCCAUUAAAUCCCCCCACAGCCCAUUUCUAAAAUAUUUGCUUUGCCACUGGUGCAACAGAUCUGGCUGUAUCUGCCUUGAAAAGUUCUUUGUUGGGGAAAAAAAAAACUGUUAGCAUCAUUUGAAACCAUUCCUUUCAAAAUAUCAUCAGUUGACUUGG
rnacentral:lncRNA from 1 species